UUAGGUAAUCUAGAUGAUCGCGUGCAGUUUUUUCUGUAUGAGGAAAGUCCGGGCUCCACAGGACAAAGACGCCGGAUAACGUCCGGAAGCAGUAAUGUUAUAGACAGUGCAGCAGAAAAUAAACCGCCUGAGCAAUCAGGUAAGGGUGAAAUGGUGAGGUAAGAGCUCACCGCACAAGUGGCAACACUUUGUGGCAUGGUAAACCUCGUCUGGAGCAAGUUCAAGCAGUAAGUGGGCGGUCCGUCCUUAUCUUACGGGUAGAAUGCUAGAGAAUAGUAGUAAUACUAUUAGUAGAUAGAUGAUUGUCGUUAUACAAAACUCGGCUUAUUGAUUACCUUAUUUU
rnacentral:RNase_P_RNA from 1 species